UACAGAGGUCUCAAGCGUUGUUCGGAUUCAUUGGGCGUAAAGGGUGCGUAGGUGGCGGGGUUAGUCAGGUGUGAAAUCUCGGAGCUCAACUCCGAAACUGCACUUGAUACUGCCUUGCUCGAGUACUGGAGAGGAGAUUGGAAUUUACGGUGUAGCAGUGAAAUGCGUAGAUAUCGUAAGGAAGACCAGUGGCGAAGGCGAAUCUCUGGACAGUUACUGACACUGAGGCACGAAGGCCAGGGGAGCAAACGGG
rnacentral:rRNA from 1 species